AACGGCGUCGAGCGGCGGACGGGUGAGUAAUGCCUGGGAAAUUGCCCUGAUGUGGGGGAUAACCAUUGGAAACGAUGGCUAAUACCGCAUAAUAGCUUCGGCUCAAAGAGGGGGACCUUCGGGCCUCUCGCGUCAGGAUAUGCCCAGGUGGGAUUAGCUAGUUGGUGAGGUAAUGGCUCACCAAGGCGACGAUCCCUAGCUGGUCUGAGAGGAUGAUCAGCCACACUGGAACUGAGACACGGUCCAGACUCCUACGGGAGGCAGCAGUGGGGAAUAUUGCACAAUGGGCGCAAGCCUGAUGCAGCCAUGCCGCGUGUAUGAAGAAGGCCUUCGGGUUGUAAAGUACUUUCAGCAGUGAGGAAGGUGGUAGUGUUAAUAGCACUAUCAUUUGACGUUAGCUGCAGAAGAAGCACCGGCUAACUCCGUGCCAGCAGCCGCGGUAAUACGGAGGGUGCGAGCGUUAAUCGGAAUUACUGGGCGUAAAGCGCAUGCAGGUGGUUUGUUAAGUCAGAUGUGAAAGCCCGGGGCUCAACCUCGGAAUUGCAUUUGAAACUGGCAGACUAGAGUACUGUAGAGGGGGGUAGAAUUUCAGGUGUAGCGGUGAAAUGCGUAGAGAUCUGAAGGAAUACCGGUGGCGAAGGCGGCCCCCUGGACAGAUACUGACACUCAGAUGCGAAAGCGUGGGGAGCAAACAGGAUUAGAUACCCUGGUAGUCCACGCCGUAAACGAUGUCUACUUGGAGGUUGUGGCCUUGAGCCGUGGCUUUCGGAGCUAACGCGUUAAGUAGACCGCCUGGGGAGUACGGUCGCAAGAUUAAAACUCAAAUGAAUUGACGGGGGCCCGCACAAGCGGUGGAGCAUGUGGUUUAAUUCGAUGCAACGCGAAGAACCUUACCUACUCUUGACAUCCACAGAACUUUCCAGAGACGGAUUGGUGCCUUCGGGAACUAUGAGACAGGUGCUGCAUGGCUGUCGUCAGCUCGUGUUGUGAAAUGUUGGGUUAAGUCCCGCAACGAGCGCAACCCUUAUCCUUGUUUGCCAGCGAGUAAUGUCGGGAACUCCAGGGAGACUGCCGGUGAUAAACCGGAGGAAGGUGGGGACGACGUCAAGUCAUCAUGGCCCUUACGAGUAGGGCUACACACGUGCUACAAUGGCGCAUACAGAGGGCGGCCAACUUGCGAAAGUGAGCGAAUCCCAAAAAGUGCGUCGUAGUCCGGAUUGGAGUCUGCAACUCGACUCCAUGAAGUCGGAAUCGCUAGUAAUCGUAGAUCAGAAUGCUACGGUGAAUACGUUCCCGGGCCUUGUACACACCGCCCGUCACACCAUGGGAGUGGGCUGCAAAAGAAGUGGGUAGUUUAACC
rnacentral:rRNA from 1 species